GGUUAUGGCUCAGUGGUAGAGCACCUGCUUUGCAUGCAGAAAGUUCCAAGUUCAAUCCCUGGCAUGGUCA